rnacentral:rRNA from 1 species
UAAUACGGAGGAUGCAAGCGUUAUCCGGAUUUAUUGGGUUUAAAGGGUGCGCAGGCGGAAAAAUAAGUCAGUGGUGAAAUCCUGCAGCUUAACUGUAGAAUUGCCGUUGAUACUGUUAUUCUUGAGUGUGGUCAAGGUAGGCGGAAUGUGUAAUGUAGCGGUGAAAUGCUUAGAUAUUACACAGAACACCGAUUGCGAAGGCAGCUUACUGGGCCAUUACUGACGCUCAUGCACGAAAGCGUGGGGAUCGAACAGGAUUAGAUACCCUGGUAGUCCACGCCGUAAACGAUGAUCACUCGCUGUUGGCGAUACACAGUCAGCGGCUAAGCAAAAGCAUUAAGUGAUCCACCUGGGGAGUACGACCGCAAGGUUGAAACUCAAAUGAAUUGACGG